GGACCAUAGCUCAGCGGUGGAGAAUCUGCUUUGCAUGCAGAAGGUCUCAGGUUCAGUUCUUGGCAUCUUCA